rnacentral:lncRNA from 1 species
GCAGAGUUGGGAAGGAUCUUCUCUCAUAGGCUGUUGACCCAGCUCCUCUUUCUGUGUGUGAGGGCAUCUUCGUUUUUUAUGGCAUUUUCAAAGCAGCAUAUGAGGAUUCUUAGCAUGCAGCUAAUUGACAACCCCCAUGUCCCAUGAUGUAAUGUUUGCUCUGAACUAGCCAUCUUGAUACAUAGGAGUGUAUGUAUAUUAGGUUCUUUGUAGAACAGCUUUUUUUUGUUGUUUUUUUCAUUUAAAAGGCCUCUGAAAGCCCUCUCAAAACGGACCUCAAAAAGGCAACCAGUGUUGAAUGGAUGGGAGCUGGGGCGAUGCAUGCCCAGGCUGGUCAUGGUGUGUGCAGCACCCAGAGAGUUGCACCCACUCCUUCUUCAGGUGGAUAUCCGACCUUUACACUGUGGUCUUACAAAAGUCAGCAAGUUCGGUUUGGCUGCCCUGUGAAACUUCGGCAUUCGAGGUCCUCUUCUGUUAAAACCCAACUCUUGGCUGGGCGCGGUGGCUCAUGCCUGUAAUCCCAGCACUUGGGGAGGCCGAGACUGGCAGAUCACUCGAGGCUAGGAGUUCGAGACCAGCCUGGCCAACAUUGCGAAACUCCAUCUCUAUCAAUAAAUACAAAAAAUUAGCCACUAACUUCUGUAAAAUAGGUCCAUUCAUUGCAGGAUCUCAGUGUCACACCUGACUUCAGAGGCCUUGUUUAACCCCUGUCCUCUUUGCCUCUGCAAUGCCUUUUUCUUCUUUUUAGCAAUAUGGCUCUGAGCGCAAAGGUUUGAUUGGAAAUCACGUUCGGGUUUUCAGAGUUUACAGUGUCGGUUGUACUGAAAACCACUUUCAGAGUCUAAAGCAGCUCAGAUGUUAUCUCUGGGGGAAUUAAUGUUCCCCUAAUUUAGCAACCUCCAUACCACAAGGUCUCUAUCUGUAGUUACUGGGAUUAUCCAGAUACACUAUCAAUGAUACAAAUUCAUAGAUGUAUUAAUGCAUUUCUUUAAACAUGACUUGAUUAAGAAGCAGAUAUGUUAAGCCGUUUUCUUUUUCUGCUGCUAAAUUGCAGUUAGACACUUCAGUAUCUUCUCUACAUGUGUAUAUAAAUUAGUAAGAACCUGCAUUCAAAGCAAUGUAGUAGUGUGUGUAUGUAUCUAUAUAUAUUUAUUCUAACUCAGCACUUCAGAAGCCUUUUUGAGUUACAACAAUAUUUUAGUUUGCUUCAUCUGUAGAGGUAAAAGUUCUGUAUUACCAAGCUCCAGAGGAAUAUGAUAUUUUACAGGCACAAUUUUCUGGCUGUAGCCCCUGCGGCAUUCAUUUGCUGGCCUCCAUGGGAUGCUGUUAGAACAAUUGUUAGCCGGCAAGAGAAGAAAGGGUACCAGGACAGCAUUUACAGUUGUAGAAUGGGAGCUUUCUUCCCUCUCCCCUCCACUUUCAUUUUAGCAUGAGAGAAAAAAACAAUAGAUUGGAAAUGAUUGUUGCAUCUCACUUCAUGAAAGUAGGGGCGUAAGUUCCUUCUGGAUCCUUUUCUUGACAAGCAGUCAAGAGGAAGGUCCCCAUACACAUGUCCCUGUGUGAUACUUGGUAGUUUCUGAGAAUGGUGCUACAUAAGCGUUGCUGUUAGGCUGGGAUCCUAUUAACGAAUGUUCGGUUAGUUCAGGCUUCCCAGUGGCAAAGGCAGACACCGUGGAGAUGGACAUUUACUGACUGCCCUUCUUUGUGGCUUCGGCCUCCCUGGCUGACACCACACCUGUGCGCACUGCGCUCGGCCCGCUUUGCUGCAGAAACACAACGAGCGUUUCAUGUCAGCUACAGCUGAGAGCAAAAACUGCAAAAAAAAAAGUCUCAUUGGAUGCCAGUUGUCUGAUACAAAUGCAGUGUCUUUUAAGUGACAGAAACACACCUAAAUACCUGCAACUCAAGCUCGCUAGCAUUUUUUUUCUGAGUACUUGAGAUAAAAUCCAAAACCCACCCUCUAAUUUUAUGCUGUAUUUAUAUAUAUGUACAUAAAUGUAUAUAUAUAGAAAUGUCGAGUUCUUCUGGAUUCUGAAUGUAAAUAAUUCUUGUAAAUUGGGACUCCGCCCACCUGUUUCUCCCUUUUCCCUCUUCCCUUCAGCUCUAUUUAUUCUUUUCUUGACUUUCCCAUAUGGGGCAUCUUACGACUUUUUUUGUUUUUUGUUUUUUGUUUUUCAUUUAGAAAAGUAUGGAAAACUUUUCAUUUAGAAAAGUAUUUGUUCCUGUAUUUUAGAAUUCAGUUUUGCAUCUUUGCUGUAGAAUUGCUGUUUUGUGUUACUGUUUUUUACUAUGUCUUAUUGUGUUUUGCAUUUUUAUUGUGUGCAAUGCAUUGUACUGGGGGGAUGCACUUGAGCGCCUUUUCUGACGCUGACAUUGUGUGGCUGCUCGUGCUCCUUUAUGUUGUUCUUUGGAAGCUGUAGUGACCUGAUGUUUUCACAUUGUAAAAAAUGCUUCCUGAGACUUCUUUAAAGCUCCUCUAACUUCUUCAGUGCAUUUGGGAUCAAACUUAGCUCUUAGAUCAGCAAACCUGACUUGCUCCUACUUUUGCAGUUUUUCAGGCCUUACCAUAUUUCUUAUCUCUGGCUUCCCACCUGAUAGGAAAAUCUUGCAGAUUUGAAACAGUGGUUUCUGGCCUGCUGCUGCAGCAAAUUCCCUAUGUUUAUUUAAGAAGUUGGGCCUGGCCGGGCGUGGUGGCUCAAGCCUGUAAUCCCAGCACUUUGGGAGGCCGAGACGGGCGGAUCACGAGUUCAGGAGAUCGAGACCAUCCUGGCUAACACGGUGAAACCCCGUCUCUACUAAAAUACAAAAAAAAUCAGCUGGGCGAGGUGGCGGGCGCCUGUACUCCCAGCUACUCGGGAGGCUGAGGCAGGAGAAUGGCGUGAACCCGGGAGGCGGGGCUUGCAGUGAGCUGAGAUCCAGCCACUGCACUCCAGCCUGGGCAACAGAGCUAGACUCCAUCUCAAAAAAAAAAAAAAAAAAAAAAAAA